UUUAUUAGGCAAGUCAUGAAAUUUUUAAAAUCAAGGGCAAAGUGGGUGAAGAAAGUUGAAUUUGAUUUGAUUUUUCUUGCAACACUCACAAAAGGCAAUCAUGGAGGUAGAGGAUGAUGACUGGGACUUGACGGCAGAAGAACUCGAUUCUCUUGAACGCGAUGCUUUCCAGAAAAUUGCUCAACUUCGCGACUCUUCUACCCCUCCUUCUCAACAAUUCAAUCUGCAACAACACCAUUUUCUAAAACCACCUUCUGCCAACCAUUCCCAACCCUUCCCACCAAACCCCAUUUCCGAUUCCCAUCCUCAAAGGGUGGACGCUUUGCCUCAAGGAGCUAGAGCAUUACCCCCCCUCAUUGAAACCAGGGACAAAAAAGGAUGAGCCUUCUAAAGAACUGCCGAAGUUUUUUGUCAAACUUUUUCUUCAUUCCAGUGGGCAUGUUGCAGCGAAAUUCCAAUAUGACCAGGUAAAUAAUUUCUGCUUUUCGGAGAAUCCCUAGAGUUUCUUGGAAUGCAAAAGAAAGAUAUCCCUCCCCUUUCUCUUCCAGCAAUAAGUGCCUGUGUUCAUCCUAGCAUGGUUGUCUGGAUUGGCUGUUGAGGGCUUAGUUAUUUGAAAAUUUUUGAGUCUUCAGGUUAUGGAUGUUCCCACUUUCUUCCUUGUCAGAAGCAGAGAAGGUUCUAGGAGAAAUAUCUAAUUAUAAAGUUCAGUUGGAGGUGCUAAAAGGCAAAAUUAAGUCUUCCAAAUCAAAAGAUGAGUCUGAAUCUCUUAAAUAUACUCAAAAUAAUCUGAUUAACAAGGUUUGCAUGGAAGAAGCCCUGAACAUAAUCUUGACUUGUACAAUUUGUUUGGAAGUUUUUCUUAUUACCUAGAACUAUGAUAGGUCUAUAGUUUUUACUGCAACAUUUUCUCAGGCCUUGGCCAAUAUUGGAGUAGUUUAAAUCAUUUUGACUGGUAUAUGAUCAAAACUGAAUCAUGAUAUAUUCGAUUCCAGAUAUAUACUAAUUCUGCAGAUGCCAAGAUUCCCGUUGUUCUUGAAUAUCUCGGAACUGUCAUUGAGGCAGGUUGCAAGUUUCUUAUAUUUGCGCACGAUCAGCCAAUGAUAAAUGCAAUACAUGAGUGCCUUCUUAAGAAAAAAGGUGGGUUGCUUCUGGAUUGAUGGAGGUACACCCGGUGUGCAUCAAGGCAACAAUUGGUUACAGAUUUCCAGGAAAAGGAUCAUAUAUAUCAAGGCGGCUGUGCUAUCCGUUAAAGCUGGGGAGUUGGAUUAACUUUAACUGCUGCAAGCACAGUUAUCUUUGUUUUGUAGAACAAUCCUGGACUCCAGGUGACCUAAUUCAGGUCGAAAAUCGUGCUCAUAGAAUUGACCAGGUCUCGUCAGUAAAUAUAUACUAAUUGUUGGCAAAUGAUACGGGUGGAGAUAAGUUUACAUGCAGAAGUUUCCCUAUAGUAUUAACUACAUGUGCUUACAUGGGGAAUUACACCUUUGAUGACACAAAUGCCUUUCAAAGCUGAAAUCCAUUGUACAAUAAAUAAUAGAUUUCACUACACUAAACUAUGUUGCUUGUGCUGGAGAUAAUGGUUUGGUUAUGUGAAAUAUGUAUUGGAAGAAAAUGUUGAUAAAGUCACCCAUUAGAUUUUAGCUUUCCACUUCUUGUUCUUAACUUUUUGCUCCCCUAUGUUUUGUUUUAGUUUGGGGCUCUGUACAGAGUACUACAUUAUCAUAUAUGAAUGAGACUUGUAAAUUUCUUUA